rnacentral:pre_miRNA from 1 species
CCAGAUGUGGUGCAGGCAUGCGAAAGUUGCAUGCCUUUAUCAUGUCCG